UCACGGCUGUAUUGACGCGGUUUCCAGGUUGUCGGGUUCUUCGGGGAUUUGAAAUGUACAUCUACGUCUACAUUUAAUUAUUGCAAGUCAAUCAAUCGAUACUGAUGCGCUCAUCCGUCGUGAUAUCAUAGAUCCAUUUAGAUUUAUUUAGAUAGAUUUUCUUGAUUAAUUCAAUGACGUUAUUACACUACUCGACGAACGAUUGUUGGAUACAAGGUGGACGGAAGUGUUUGUGUGUAAAGUGACGUAAAUUUUCAACUCAAUGCUUAAAUCUAAAUUCACUAGAAAACAGUUAAUAUUAUACGGAAAUGAAUUGCAAUGGGGGGCCACGAGUUGGUGAGGACACUUACACCUCCAUGAGCAAUAAGCCAAUAAUUACCUAUGCAGGAGACAGAGAAUUGUUUUUGACAUUGGAAAAUUCUCUAGCACGAGCUCUGCCUUUGAAUUCCGCAGAAUGGCGCAGGUCCUUUGGACGACCAGAUAAACAAGUCAUCAUCGAAGGAUCCUUUGUACAGUUCUCAAAAAAUAUUUUACCGACUGAAAAGGAUUGGCACCUCAUUAAGCAGCCCAUAUUUCAUAUUUAUUGGAGCGAAUGUUCUGAUGUUGAUGUUUACAAAACAUCGAUAAAAGAUGAUAUCGAUGCCUGGCUAAAGACUCUGGCGCAAUAUAAUGUUCAAGAUUGGAUGAUUGUUUUGGUAGAAACCUAUGAUCUCAAAAAAAGUAACAAAUUACUUCCUAGAACUACCGUGCUAGACAAAAUUCGUAGCGAUUUUGCAUCCAAGCAUGGAGAUAGAUGUUUGUCAAUCAUAAAUCCAAUAAAAUCCGAGUCCAGAUCUGCUGAGUCUUGGCGAGGGUUAAUAAUCCGGAUACGGCAUUUAGUUCUUACUGCUUAUGACAGAACGCUUUUGCGUUUUGAAGAAGUCGUCAGAAAACAGAGAGAAAAGCGGAACCAAGCAGGCUGGAAUUUUUGUCAUUAUUUCUUGCUGCAGGAAGAACUUGCUUUUGUAUUAGAGAUGUUGGGCCUUUAUGACGAAGCUCUAGUACAAUAUGACGAAUUAGAUGCGCUCUUUACUCAAUUUGUCUUAAAUUCUAACGUUGGAGAUACUCCGGUAUGGUUGAGCUCUUUUCAGAGUCCGCUCAAUAAUUGGGUUGGCGUUAAUUUAGAAAAUGGAAUAGACCAUCAUCUGCGUCUAUGUUUAGCUGAAUGCAAAGCUUCUCUUUUAGAUCUACGGAGUUAUUUAUUCAGCAGACAAUCCGCAAUGCUGCUAUUAAUCAACAAGCCCUGGGAGGUGGCACAAAGAUGUUUGUCCUUCGUUCACAAUACUCUGGGUGAGCUACGAAUUUUAGAAAUACAACGACCAGAGGGAGCUGUUGAGUGUUGGGCUUUUCUAUGUGCAUUAGAAGUCUUGCAAAGUUGCCAAGGAUCUAGCACCAAUCUUGAUAAUGGACAACAGCUCGAUCUGUGUUCCCUUCAUACUGCUAGCCUCUGGGCACUGGCCAGGGAUAAACUCGGAGACCUUGGAAAACUCUGCGGUCUCCUACCAGGUAAUGAACCGACCAGUGAGCAGCUACAUACGAUUGUUUAUUUGAUUGCUGGAAUGGGAGAUCCGGACCCCCAAGCCCAAAGGAAACUGACACCGACCGACAAACUGAAAGAAGCAUUAUCCUCGAAAGAGGCAUUUAAAAAACAGUACUUGGAGCACGCCGAAUUAGCUAUGGGUACUUACAAGCAUGUAGGUCGCAUCAGAUCUGCCAGGCUGAUCGGCAAAGAACUAGCUCGUUUUUACAGUGAACUUGGAGAGAACCAAAAAGCUGUAGCAUUUUUAUCCGAUGUAUUGAAAACUUAUAACGAUGAGGGCUGGCACCAACUAGCUGCACAGACGCAAUUGGAACUAGCACAGUGCUACAAAAGAAUGGAUGACGUUGAAAGGUACACUAAAAUAUGUGCAGCUAUUGCAAGUUUGACGUCAUUGCACGUAACGGUACGAAGUACGUAUUUUGAGGAGAUGUUAGCUUACACAAAGAUGCUGACUGCACCCCAGCCUCUGCUCACAGACCUUGCAGAUAGUUUUCGAAUUCUUAGCAUGGAAGUUCAUGUAGCUGACAAAGUAAUACAGGACUGCGUGGUCAGUGUCGAAGUCUGCCUGCAAAGUUUCUUUCCACGUGACAUCAUAUGUGAUGGUGCUUCGAUUUCGGUAGAGGAAUUCAAAAAGCCUACGGUUGUAGUAAACAAGAGAAAGAGUUCCAAAGCCUUGCUAGACACACGCAUUGAAUUAUUGUCGAGGUGUACAGUUGAUGAUAUGAAACCUUCAGACCCAUGCUUAGCUCGUUUACCAACUUAUUCUUACCUCGAUUAUAACCAGGAUAAAAGCUCAUUCACUGCAAGUGUGGUGAAUAAGAACUCGAAACCUUUGAUCAAGCGAUCAGACAGUGCUAAGCAUAGAAAACCAUCUGCGAACGUCAAAGGAGAUUUCAGCAAGUGUUUAUCAUACGGAAUUUUUAUUUUGAAACCUGGUGAAAAUACGUUCAUUGUUAGUGGACGAGUGGAUCAUCCAGGAGUCUACAAAAUUGGGCAACUUUCGUUGAUCAUUGAAAACAAAUUGGAGUUUUUAACUCCUGUUCUGAAUCCACCAUUAUCUUACGAAGUAGUUAAAACUCAGCCGACCAUAUCUUUACAAUGCACCAGAGAUCUAUUGGCUGGUCUUCGUCAGGAAUUAGAACUAGUCAUUUCAAGCGGUAGUGUAAAAAUAAUGGAAAAUGCCAAAAUGAAAUUGAGAUCCUCUCGAGGCCUGAGUCUUGAACGGGUUAACGACAAGCGAAUGAUGACCAGAGAGUUGGAAAUGUCAUUGCCAUCUUGCGAACCCUUUAAAAAGACUACUCUGUCAUUAAAAGUAGUGGCCGAACUUCCACCAAAAAAAGAUGCAUCAACUAUCGAGCAUAAGCUGAGCUUGCAAUGUCCAUGGGGCACAGAAGAAAUCAUACCACUAAAUUUUGGACCACCUCUGAUGUCGACCUUCAAACUGCAUACUGCAAAACUUAGGAAAUUCCUUCAAGUUAUUGUAACAGGUUUAACUGCUCUAUGUUUAGAAUUGAGGGAUCCGAAAUUGACGAGUAAUACCUCAGCCGACGUUAGUUUCAAGGAUUUGAAUCCGCUGACUUGUCAAAAGUUAGUUAUCCGGAACGGAAUGAAUGUUUCCUUCAUGUGGGAACUAGAAAUUGGCAAAGAUACGAAAUCCACAGCACCCAUAAAGACUGACUUUAGUAUGAAAUAUAGUCAGAUAAAUCUUUUUGAAGAAUUGGAAGAUUGGAAUGCCAAUGAUGACCCAUUACAUAUUCAGAAGCUUAAUAAAAUGGAACAGAAUGGAGAAAUUUAUAGGUGCAAUUUUGACAUUGUAGAUUACGUGACGCUCUUUGUUGUUCAUUCAAAAGUAGAAGCCAGUGGAGGUGGAGGAGAAUUCUGUCGAGCAGGUAGUAUGUGCCAUCUUUGUUUGACUGUUACCAAAAUGGUCAACAGUCCAUCGCCGAUUCCGACUCCUCAGUUGAUGUAUGAAGUUUUGGCCGACCAAACAAUGUGGGCUGUUUGCGGACGCACCGCAGGUGUUGUCUCGUUAGAAACUCUUGAAAAACAAAGCGUGACGCUUGAUGUCAUGCCACUUACUAGUGGGUACCUUCCAUUACCUGUGGUCAGACUAUCUAGAUACAUACCAGCUGCUGAGCUCAAGAGUGAAAUGUCUCGUAAAAAUGAAGUAACAGGGGGUCCGCGCCUAGAACCGUUCAGUCCUGGGCAAGUAUAUAACGCAAGUAAAGCCCAACAAGUUCAUGUUCUACCUGCAGCGCCACUAGAAAGUAAUUAAUUAAUCGAACGAACCCCUCAGUAGCGGAAGUCUGUUAAGGCAUAAAUUAUAAGAAAACACCAGAAACAUGAUGGAAUCAUGGCUUUCUCUUAUUUUCAAGCUCAACUAUUGAAGAACCCGAUAUUUAACCAGAUAUUCAGUGUAAAAUUAAUCGAAUAGAUAGUGUGGAAUAUUCGAUACCAGUUCGAACUCUAUUGAAUUCUGCGAAGCCCAAAGUAUAUAUGCUCUGAUGUUCAGAAGAGACGGAUACACUGCGAUGGUUUAUCCCCCCUCCCUCAACUUACGUUUUGAUAAAACUGCCUUAAAAAUAGGCACUUAGAUAUUAGAUGCUUUGAAAUAAAUGAAUACUAAACGACAUUCACGACAAGUAAAGAUAAUAGUAGAAUACAGUAUAAAUAAUUACAUACCCAUGGCUGCUGUGCAAUUAUUGGUUAAAUCUGAGAUGAAUAUUUUUCAAAUGUUGCCAUCUAGCCUAUUGUUAACAUUAUUUUUUAGUCAAUAGGUACAGUUUUACUUGUAUAUACACGUUAACAUGAAAACAUCAAUACUCGUUGAUGGAUAUUACUCUUUCUACACAUGAGAGCAAUCAUAUUACACAUUGUUUUUUCAUAAGUUAGAUAAGUUGAUACGUUUCAUGAAGGCUCUUUCAACAAAGCUACCUUGCUAUUUUGUUAUAUUGCAUAAAAUAUUUUUAUAUCAUUUGAUUUUUUUCUUGGUAACACAUAAUGUAACAUUCGUCGGACCAGCUAUUGUAAAUCAAUGCAUUGGAAGAAUAACAUGCAGAGUAAAGCAAAAAAGAUAUUGCCAACAAAUAAUGUUUGAGCGUCAUAGUUACUGUGGGUCUAAAGACUGUUGAAGUAAUGGAAAAUGUUCUUACAUAGCUAGAAAUUGACCAAUAUAAUGCUGAGCUAUCGCAUAUGAAAUGUUGUCACGCAUGUAAUGUUAUACAUAUAUUCUUCUAUAAUAAUAAUAUGUAUAUAGGCUUGUGUAUAUACUCAUUGUAUUGUAUUAACCUGAAUCCUGACGCAGAGCUUCUUUUGCCGACAUUAAGAUUAGGGUUUAAUAUUUUAUUUAAUAAGAAUAUUAUAAAUACU
rnacentral:misc_RNA from 1 species